AGUCAGUUUCACAGAGCAGCGCAGGAGGACGACAGACACAUAAAGAACAUUAACAGUUUAGCACAAAUGUUUCCCGUGGAAGUUUGAAUCUCUCUCAGUCAGGGGGGAGAUUGACUGACUGACUGUUUACUCGCCACCAAACAGUAAUUUACCCUGAAACCUUUUACAGUAAGGACUAACGUUAACUGACUGUCUGUCUGCUCUCAACCAAACAGUCAUUCAGGACCUUGUAAAGUUUAGCGCAAACGUUUCCUGCGCAAGUUUGAAUCUCUCAGUCAGGGGGGAGAUUGACUGACUGACUGACUGACUGACUGUCUACUCGCCACCAGUCAGUUACACAGAAACCUUUUAAAGUUUAGCACAAACGUUUCCCGCGCAAGUUUGGAUCUUUACCAUUGAGGGUGGCUGACUGUUCUCUACCAACCAUCAUGCACACGCAAAAACUUUAAAGAUAAGUAUGAACGUGCCCAGAGCAGUUUUCGAUCUUUACCAUUAAGGUGGCUGACUGACUAUCCUCUACCACCCAUCAUUAACACAACAAAAACGAAAGAAAUGUUACUCCAUAUGGACCUAUUCAUUUACUCAUUAUGCUGUGAGUACACCACAGUUUUAUCAGGGAAAAAAUGUAUAUUUGUGUGUUUCUCACUGCUUGGCAAGGACAGAUGUGGCCCUGUUAAAAAUGUUUAAAUGUCGUUUGGUUUAAGGAACAGCACACUGAUUUUGUUUUAAAUAUUCCUGUUUGGACAGUCUGUUAAAGUCAUAAAGCAGGGGUGGGGAACCCUGGUCCUGGAGGGCCACUGUCCUGCAGAGUUUAGUUCCAACCCUAAUUAAACACACCUGAAAAAUCUAAUUCAAGUCUUCAGG